rnacentral:rRNA from 1 species
AAAGCACUUUCAGUCGUGAGGAAGGCGGGUACGGUUAAUAGCGUAUUCGUUUGACGUUAGCGACAGAAGAAAGCACCGGCUAACUCCGUGCCAGCAGCCGCGGUAAUACGGAGGGUGCGAGCGUUAAUCGGAAUUACUGGGCGUAAAGACGCAUGCAGGUGGUUUGUUAAGUCAGAUGUGAAAGACCCGGGGCGUCAACCUACGGAAUAGCAUUUGUAAACUAGGCAGACUAGAGUACUGUAGAGGGGGGUAGGAAUUUCAGGUGUAGCGGUGAAAUAGCGUAGAGAUCUGAAGGAAUACCGGUGGCGAAGGCGGCCCCCUCGGACAGAUACUGACACUCAGAUGCGAAAGCGUGGGGAGCAAACAGGAUUAGAUACCCUGGUAG